GGUGAACUGAUUACCUUCAAGAAGUUCUCGUGUUUUCAGUUUCCACGAUGAGUGGCUUUCCGGCAAAGUUGAUGGCAGCAGUAGUGUUAAUAUUCCUUCUUGUGGGUGAUUUUCCAGCAACUUCUGCAUCAUUUCCUUGCGGUAUUGGGAAGAGUUCAUUUCUUGCAUCUGUCCGCCAAGAUGGUUCAAUGAAGACACUCCCAUUAGAAGAAGGCAGCUCUAAAGGUUUGAACAUUAAAAGUAAGAAAAUCGUUUUCUCCCGGAGCCUACGAGUGUCUCAACCGCCACCUGUACGCCCAGGAAAUCCAGGACCACAUCCAGGACAUGGUUAAAACUUAGAUGCAGUAAUUUAGGUGCAAUACAUUAAGCUCAUCAAUUGGACUAAAAUAUUUUGUUGUUUUGAAUUUAAUUAUUUUUAGAAAAAAAGAAAUACUAUUUUUAGGUGGUUCCUCAUCUUUGCCUGAUGGUUUGAUUGUAUAAAAUUCCACAUUCUUGUU